ensembl:lncRNA
AUGCCUUCUAAAGCAGAUAUUCUGCCUGAAGAAAAACAAGAAAUUGAAUUGUUGGAGCAGGUUUUGAAAACAGAGCUGGAUGUGCUUGCACAGCGCUUUCUUGACCUGACACACUGCUUCCACGCCGAGCUACAGGCCCAGAAGGACUCCGAUUCAGGGACCUUGCAUGAGAGAGAAUAUGAGUCCUUGCUGAUGCUGGAGGGUUUGGAGAGGAUGAUGGCAGAACUUACUACGUGUGCUGAUCAUCGAACGAAAGACUGGGAGAGGUGGGAUAUGAGCCUCUCUGAAGCUUUGUGUCCCGUCCGGAGGAGAGGUGAAUGGGGCGACCCGGCCCGUUCCUGCCUGCCACCCAUCCUGUCGUAG